rnacentral:sRNA from 1 species
AAGCUCCUAGGAGCUUUUUUAUUUUCCCAUUACUUGAAUUCUUGUUUAUUCCUAAAAAAUAGGCUAUAAUAAAGCAUAGCAUUUAAUUUUAGAAAGAAGGUGUAAGU